UACAGAGGGUGCGAGCGUUAAUCGGAAUUACUGGGCGUAAAGCGCACGUAGGUGGCGACGUAAGUCGGGUGUGAAAGCCCCGGGCUCAACCUGGGAAUUGCAUUCGAGACUGCAUUGCUGGAGUACGGAAGAGGAAGGCGGAAUUCCCGGUGUAGUGGUGGAAUGCGUAGAGAUCGGGAAGAACACCAGUGGCGAAGGCGUUCUGCUGGGCCGUUGCUGACACUGAGGCGCGACAGCGUGGGGAGCAAACAGG
rnacentral:rRNA from 1 species